AAAAUGUCAGCUGGAUAUUUUUUAUUACACAAUCACAACAUACACAUGCACACACACACACACAUUCACCCGCAUUCUGGCACCUACGAAUAUGCCCAGAAGCAGACUUUUGUUUUAGUUUCCGCUCGACACCAACCCACACACACAGACAAACAAUAUUUUCGGGCACUCCACACAUAAGCCACAAAGUAGUUACUUUUUAUGAUCCUCGCCCGCACACAUACUCAUAAUCGGGCUUGGGCCCAAACUCUGAUUGUUUUCCCCCAAAAACGUCUCCAAAGCUCGUAAAUAUUUUACCAGUUUGGACCGCUUCCGACUCUAGGAACUAAUUUCAGCUCUUAUGGAUGACAUACGACGCACUUUUCGGUGCUCCUUGGGUGCGAGAGCGAUUCAACAUCUACAUUUCGUUAUAAAUGACUUUCAAAGGGCCUAAACGUUGUAAAUGGUCUAAGUGCGUGUUUCUGGCCAAGGCAUCGUCAUCAGCAUUGAGUUUAAACGGACGGCGGCAAUCAAUAGGCCAUGAUAAUUUAUGACGAUUAUGCUGGCCAAAAGCCGAGAAAGUUGUCCAAGAAUAUGACUUGAUAUUAAACUUUGAUUUUGCUGUGACAUCUUUGUUGAGAACAUAAGUUCAUUUCUUCUGAUGCCUUCAUAAAAGAAAUAUCCAUUUAAAGAGUGGCGAAGGAAAGUAUCCAAUCAUAGUGAGUCAUCCACUGAAGUGUUACAUAGAAAACAGUCAACACCAAGAGAUAGAAUAACAAGGAAAUACGAAACUCAUAGCCACUCAAGGAAACGUGAAGUAGACAAGUGGACAGGACUAAAAAUAUGAAAUGAAUAGUCGUUUCCGUGGAAGAUGUUACCAUUAUCUGAAGUAGGGAAUUCGUGAAAGUUUCCACAUCGCCCAAGAAUUAGUAAUCUACUCACGCUGCAUUUGUUGUUGUAGCAUCCCUGGAAGAAAAGUAGUGGAAAUGCCAGGAAGAUCGCAUAAGUGACCAAGCUCAUCACAACUCCAAAGGUGGCAUCCCACAUCUUCCUCUGCUGCAGGCACCUCACAACAAUGGAUUCACUUAACAUCUCACCCAAUCCAAAGUAUACCAGUGCCGUCACAUCAGGCAUAACGUCAAACUGCAUACUUAUAUACUGAUAUAUAAUAUUUUCUAUCUCUCGACUUAGCAAGUUAAUGAACACCGAGCUGACGAUCAAUCCCAGCAAGGCAAAAAUCCAUAUAUUAUUGGGUCUCCUCAAGGAAUGAGUGGAGAUGAAGGUCAAGAUGCUGAGAGUCCAACAGGUCAGGAACAUAAUUAACCAGCUAACAGCUUUGAAGCCAUGAGGCAGGCAUAUGAUUGGAAGGAAAAACAAACCCAGGCAGCUUGUGUACUUGUUCCAGCCAAUCAGAGCUCGAUCAUUGGAUAUAACCGGGAUAAAGUUAGCCAAUACAAAGUAUGAUGGUAUCUGUAGAUAGAAAUGAUUACCUUUUCAUGGUAGUAAAUCAUUGAAGAUAUACAAAUAUAUUCACCAUUGCAAUCCUAUAUAUCACGUUUG
rnacentral:lncRNA from 1 species